rnacentral:rRNA from 1 species
UUCCGGUUGAUCCUGCCGGACCCGACUGCUAUCAGAGUGAGAUUAAGCCAUGCGAGUUAACGUAGCAAUACGUGGCGCACGGCUCAGUAACACGUAGUCAACAUGCCCAGAGGACGUGGAUAACCUCGGGAAACUGAGUCUAAACCGCGAUAAGUGAGGAUUUCUGGAAUGGUUCCUGACUAAAAUCUAUAUGGCCUCUGGAUUGGACUGCGGCCGAUCAGGCUGUUGGUGAGGUAAUGGCCCACCAAACCUGUAACCGGUACGGGCUCUGAGAGGAGGAGCCCGGAGAUGGGCACUGAGACAAGGGCCCAGGCCCUAUGGGGCGCAGCAGGCGCGAAACCUCUGCAAUAGGCGAAAGCUUGACAGGGUUACUCUGAGUGAUUUCCGCUAAGGGAAUCUUUUGGCACCUCUAAAAAUGGUGCAGAAUAAGGGGUGGGCAAGUCUGGUGUCAGCCGCCGCGGUAAUACCAGCACCCCGAGUGGUCGGGACGAUUAUUGGGCCUAAAGCAUCCGUAGCCGGUCCUGCAAGUCUUCCGUUAAAUCCAGCUGCUCAACAGAUGGGCUGCGGGAGAUACUACAGGGCUAGGAGGCGGGAGAGGCAAGCGGUACUUUAUGGGUAGGGGUAAAAUCCGCUGAUCCAUAGAAGACCACCAGUGGCGAAGGCGGCUUGCCAGAACGCGCUCGACGGUGAGGGAUGAAAGCUGGGGGAGCAAACCGGAUUAGAUACCCGGGUAGUCCCAG